rnacentral:rRNA from 1 species
GAUAAACGCUGGCGGCGUGCCUAAUACAUGCAAGUCGUGCGGAAAGGUUUUUGCACUUUUUUGCUUCUUUUUUUAAGGUAGCAAAGUGUGCAGAAUACUCGAGCGGCGGACGGCAGAGUAACGCGUAGGAAUGUACCCCAAAGUGAGGGAUAAGCACCGGAAACGGUGUCUAAUACCGCAUAAUAUCUUCGGAUUAAAGCAGUAAUGCGCUUUGGGAACAGCCUGCGUCUGANAGCUUGUUGGUGAGGUAAUGGCUCACCAAGGCUACGAUCGGUAGCUGGUCUGAGAGGAUGAUCAGCCUGACUGGAACUGAGACACGGUCCAGAACUCCUACGGGAGGCAGCAGUAGGGAAUUUUCCACAAUGGGCGCAAGCCUGAUGGAGCAACGCCGCGUGCAGGAUGAAGGCUUUAGGGUCGUAAACUGCUUUUAUGUGCGAAGAAUUUGACGGUAACACAUGAAUAAGGAUCGGCUAA